UACAGAGGGUGCAAGCGUUGUUCGGAAUUACUGGGCGUAAAGGGCGCGUAGGCGGCCUGCUAAGUCGUACGUGAAAUCCCUGGGCUCAACCCAGGAACUGCGUCCGAUACUGGUUGGCUUGAAUCCGGGAGAGGGAUGUGGAAUUCCAGGUGUAGCGGUGAAAUGCGUAGAUAUCUGGAGGAACACCGGUGGCGAAGGCGACAUCCUGGACCGGUAUUGACGCUGAGGCGCGAAAGCCAGGGGAGCAAACGGG
rnacentral:rRNA from 1 species